rnacentral:rRNA from 1 species
CCUACGGGAUGCAGCAGUGGGGACUCUUGCACACUGGGGGAACCCCUGCUGCAGCGACGCCGCGUGAGCGAUGAAGUAUUUCGGUAUGUAAAGCUCUAUCAGCAGGGAAGAAAAUGACGGUACCUGACUAAGAAGCCCCGGCUAACUACGUGCCAGCAGCCGCGGUAAUACGUAGGGGGCAAGCGUUAUCCGGAUUUACUGGGUGUAAAGGGAGCGUAGACGGCGGUGCAAGCCAGAUGUGAAAGCCUGGGGCUCAACCCCGGGACUGCAUUUGGAACUGUGCUGCUAGAGUGUCGGAGAGGCAGGCGGAAUGCCUAGUGUAGCGGUGAAAUGCGUAGAUAUUAGGAGGAACACCAGUGGCGAAGGCGGCCUGCUGGACGAUGACUGACGUUGAGGCUCGAAAGCGUGGGGAGCAAACAGGAUUAGAUACCCCUGUAGUC